rnacentral:rRNA from 1 species
AGCGAACGCUGGCGGCAGGCUUAACACAUGCAAGUCGAACGGGCGUAGCAAUACGUCAGUGGCAGACGGGUGAGUAACGCGUGGGGACGUGCCUUUUGGUUCGGAACAACCCAGGGAAACUUGGGCUAAUACCGGAUAAGCCCUUACGGGGAAAGAUUUAUCGCCAAAAGAUUGGCCCGCGUCUGAUUAGCUAGUUGGUG